UCGAGAAUUUUUCACAAUGGGCGCAAGCCUGAUGGAGCGACGCCGCGUGGGGGAUGAAGGGCUUCGAUCCGUAAACCCCUGUCAUUUGCGAACAAACCUUGAUUGUGAAUAGCGAUCGAGCUGAUUGUAGCGGAAGAGGAAGGGACGGCUAACUCUGUGCCAGCAGCCGCGGUAAUACAGAGGUCCCAAGCGUUGUUCGGAUUCACUGGGCGUAAAGGGUGCGUAGGUGGUCGGUGAAGUUCGGUGUGAAAGCUCGGAGCUCAACUCCGAAACGGCAUUGAAAUCUCAUCGGCUGGAGGGUCGGAGGGGAGACUGGAAUUCUCGGUGUAGCAGUGAAAUGCGUAGAUAUCGAGAGGAACACCAGUGGCGAAGGCGAGUCUCUGGACGACUCCUGACACUGAGGCACGAAAGCCAGGGG
rnacentral:rRNA from 1 species